GAUGAACGCUGGCGGCGUGCCUAAUACGUGCAAGUCGAGCGAACAGAUAAGGAGCUUGCUCCUUUGACGUUAGCGGCGGACGGGUGAGUAACACGUGGGUAACCUACCUAUAAGACUGGGAUAACUUCGGGAAACCGGAGCUAAUACCGGAUAACAUUUGGAACCGCAUGGUUCUAAAGUGAAAGAUGGUUUUGCUAUCACUUAUAGAUGGACCCGCGCCGUAUUAGCUAGUUGGUAAGGUAACGGCUUACCAAGGCGACGAUACGUAGCCGACCUGAGAGGGUGAUCGGCCACACUGGAACUGAGACACGGUCCAGACUCCUACGGGAGGCAGCAGUAGGGAAUCUUCCGCAAUAGGCGAAAGCCUGACGGAGCAACGCCGCGUGAGUGAUGAAGGGUUUCGGCUCGUAAAACUCUGUUAUUAGGGAAGAACAAAUGUGUAAGUAACUGUGCACGUCUUGACGGUACCUAAUCAGAAAGCCACGGCUAACUACGUG
rnacentral:rRNA from 1 species